rnacentral:rRNA from 1 species
GAUGAACGCUAGCGGCAGGCCUAAUACAUGCAAGUCGAGGGGUAGUGGUUGCUUGCAACCAUGAGACCGGCGCACGGGUGCGUAACGCGUAUGCAACCUACCUUCAUCUGGGGGAUAGCCCGAAGAAAUUCGGAUUAACACCGCAUAAAAUCACAGUACCGCAUGUACAAUGAUCAAACAUUCAUGGGAUGGAGAUGGGC